UACGAAGGGUGCAAACGUUGCUCGGAAUUAUUGGGCGUAAAGCGCACGUAGGCGGCAUUGCAAGUCGGAUGUGAAAUCUUAUGGCUUAACCAUAAAAGUGCAUCCGAAACUGCAGUGCUUGAGUACUUAAGAGGAUCGCGGAAUUCCCGGUGUAGAGGUGAAAUUCGUAGAUAUCGGGAGGAACACCAGUGGCGAAGGCGGCUACCUGGCCCACUCUCGACGCUGAGGCGCGAAAGCUAGGGGAGCAAACGGG
rnacentral:rRNA from 1 species